AACGAGGAAGCUGGAUUCCAUUGAUUCUACGAUCCUUUUUAUGAUUCUACGAAUCUACCAUGUCCCGGGUUUUUCUCGCUCUUUUUUUUUUUGGGAGGGGGGGAGGAAAGAAGGAGGGAAGGGUAAAGAACCAAAGCGAAUGACAGGAAGGAUAAAGCUACUAGAAAGGGAAUUCAUUGCUAAAGCUGCCAGACACAAAAACCCAAUAAAAGGGGCAUUUUAAUUAAAAAUUACAAUCGCUGCUUGAAGCACCUCAGUAUCUGAUCUUGCUCCCAAAUGUCUCCUGCACUCACACUCCAGAAACUGCUCUUUUUCACUGAUAACAUGAUGCUACUAAGAAUUCAAGCCGAGAUUUCCAAACUAAACAAACAGCAUUAGACAACCGCCGGCUGAAAUCCUAGGGACUCCGCCGAACCUAAAGGCCCGUCGUCGGUAAGACAAAGUGCACGUCCAGCAAGGACGGCAGAAAAGCACUCCGGUAUUGACGGCACUGGGGUCUCAGGGGCUUGCCGGGGGCUUGGGAAGCGGCCGGGCGAGCUGAGGUUGGGAGGAAGGGCGGGAGGCAGGGAGACCUGGUGGAGGCGGAGCUGGGUGGUUGUCGGGAAGAUAAAGAGAAGUGGUUGCAAGUAAGAACGGGGGAGCUGUCCCGGUGAGGAGCGAGUGGCUGUGGUUACCGAGUGCUCAGGUGUACUUGUUGGACAUAUUGCUGGAUAGUGCUUCUGCGAGGAGAUUGUGAGUGAGGUACUAUGAAGGAAGAAAAAUACUCAAAGGAUCACAAACCAUGCAGUUUCUUACUCAUAAGCAUGUAAAUGUGAAGCUCUCCAGUUCUAUAAUCCCAUGGACACAUGAGUAGACUCAGGAAUACAGUGGGAGACAUACCUCAAACAAGCUAAAUUCUGGUUUCUGCUCUCAUCUCUGAUUAUUGUGGGGCACACUCACAGGGUCUAAGUUGCGAGGCUGCCUUUUUGUGUACACCAAAAAUAGUGGCGUUUCAACUCAAGGAACUGAAUGUUUGAUCUCCUUGAAAAGUCUUGAUGAGAUGGAUAUGAUCAAAGCAGAACAGAUUAUAGAAAAGUAGGAAGAAGUACAUCUGAAGUUUCUAACAACUCCUCCACAAAGAUCUAGAAACCGACCAACUCCUGAUCUGGAAAUCCAAGAAAAUGACUUGUGAAUUGUAUGUACCUAUAUAUCGUUUAUCUGGCUGUCUUCACAUCUUGUGUCAGUGCCUGGAAUGGUCCAUGAAUAGCAGUGUCAGUUUCUAGUAAGGCCCAAGAGGAUGAUGAAAAGGCUUUUCAGAGACUGUUUCACGGACAUAUUUAAUCUGAGAUUGGUUCUGAGACUCUGCUCUAAUAAGUUUAAAACUGUAUUCUGAUAUUUUGGUCACUAUAUGUGUCUUGUCUCCCAACAUGGAUUUCAUUCUGUAUUUAAGCAGGUAGAAGUCUUUUACUCAUUCUAUUCCCCACUGUAGCUAUGCCAGUGUCUUGGCUUUUGUAAGUGCAAUAAUAGUGUAGCCUAGUUACUCAAUUAUACUACAAAUAUAUUUACAUCUUGAAAAGGGUUCAGAAUAAUGCUAAAGCAUACUACACGUACAGAUAUUUUUUUCUUUUACUGGAGAACUCUUAAUAGAGUCACUCAUUCCAAAGAAACAAAUGAAUAAAUAAAAACUCACCUGAUAUAAGUUGCACUUGGUUAAUAAAUUAUAAAGUAAUGCUUGAGCCAUCUCCAGGUCUGAUCUAUAUCCGACUACUGGACCUAAAUGGCUGUAGAGGAGAAAUUGAGGCAGGUGAUCAUGCCCAGCCCUCCCUUUACUUAAAUCCAAUUUAUUUGCAUGUCAUAGUAUCACCUUCAUGAUGUGAUGGUCCUCUUCAAGAACAAAGGACAAGCAACAACAAAAAUACUUAAUUUCUGAAAUUCCAUGUAGCAUAGAAAUGCAUUUACUAAAUUCUAUAUCACUUGAAGAGAGCCAUCUGCACCCAGAGAGAGGCUGUAGAAACUGAGUAUGGAUCACAACAUAGUAUUUUCACUCUUUCUGCUGUUUGCUUGCAUUUUAUUUUCUUUCUCACUUUUUUCUUUUUU